GGGCCCGCACAAGCGGUGGAGUAUGUGGUUUAAUUCGAUGCAACGCGAAGAACCUUACCAGGGUUUGACAUCCUGCUAAUUUCUGGGAAACCGGAAAGUGCCUUCGGGAGCGCAGUGACAGGUGGUGCAUGGCUGUCGUCAGCUCGUGUCGUGAGAUGUUGGGUUAAGUCCCGCAACGAGCGCAACCCACGUCUUUAGUUGCCAGCAUUUAGUUGGGCACUCUAGAGAGACCGCCGGUGAUAAACCGGAGGAAGGUGUGGAUGACGUCAAGUCCUCAUGGCCCUUACGGGUUGGGCUACACACGUGCUACAAUGGCAGUGACAAUGGGUUAUCCCAAAAAGCUGUCUCAGUUCG
rnacentral:rRNA from 1 species